ACGAAGGGUGCAAGCGUUAAUCGGAAUUACUGGGCGUAAAGCGUGCGUAGGCGGUUCGUUAAGUCUGUCGUGAAAGCUCUGGGCUCAACCUGGGAAUGGCGAUGGAUACUGGCGAGCUAGAGUGCGGUAGAGGAUGGCGGAAUUCCCGGUGUAGCGGUGAAAUGCGUAGAGAUCGGAAGGAACAUCCGUGGCGAAGGCGGCCAUCUGGACCAGCACUGACGCUGAGGCACGAAAGCGUGGGGAGCAAACAGGA
rnacentral:rRNA from 1 species